AUGCUAAAUACAGUGUAUAGCAGUAAUAACCAUUUGAAAAUUACCAUGUGAUACGCUAGAUAAAUACCCUUAAAGGAUUUAUAUACCUUUAACUGUUGAAAUGCCAGAUAUUGGCUCUGUUCUUAAAUGUGGAAAUGCAAAACCAGGUAGGUCAUGUAUUAUGAAUAUUUCUUUUUAAUUAGUUGUGAUCACUGAUAAGACUGUAACUGGCAACUGCAAUACAUAAGUUUUGGGCGGGACCAACAGAAAGUAGUGUAGUAUGCAGUGCACAUUUCAAGUUCCAAAACUCUCUACUUAUUAUUUGUUGUGUAAUUAAUAUAUCAUUAUGUCUGUAGUGCCUAAGAUACUUUGUGAAAUUUCCUCUGACUAUACCUUAUACGGGUGAUGAACCAUCUCCAAGUAUCGAGAGUGAGGCCCCGGGGUAUAUUGAGGCAUGUACACAAGUUUCACUAAUAAAGGUUGUGCAUGACAAACACGAGCAUGUGUGUCAUUUCGAACGAAAGGAACUCGAGUUGCACCCGAUGCCGAAACAAAUGAAGGAUGUUCAGUAAUGCAUUUAAUACUCUGAUUUUGGUUUAUUUGCAAAAAACUGCAAUAUCUCUUAACAACAUUUGUGCUUCCUCUCUGUAACCAUUAAUCCACAUUUUUCACGCUUGCACCUGCCUUACCAAUCCUUUGCUUCACAUCGCCCGGAGUUUGAAACUACAGCUAACUUUUCGCUGCUAACUCUUUCUAAGAUACAUUCUGGCUCAAAUAAACAGCCUACAGCGGGGCGCAAAAAUGUUGAUUGAAAAAGUUUAUCAUCAGAAAAUAAAGAAUUCAAGUUUCAAGAA